rnacentral:rRNA from 1 species
GACGAACGCUGGCGGCGUGCUUAACACAUGCAAGUCGAACGGAAAGGCCUGCUUUCCCUUGUGGAUUGCGGGUACUCGAGUGGCGAACGGGUGAGUAACACGUGAGUGAUCUGCCCCCAACUUGGGUAUAAGCCUGGGAAACUGGGUCUAAUUCCCGAUAGGACUGCAGGGUGGUGCCUGUGGUGGAAAACGAUUUUCUAGUGGUUGGGGAUGAGCUCGCGGCCUAUCAGCUUGUUGGUGGGGUAAUGGCCUACCAAGGCGGCGACGGGUAGCCGGCCGGAGAGGGUGGACGGCCACAUUGGGACUGAGAUACGGCCCAGACUCCUACGGGAGGCAGCAGUGGGGAAGAUUGCACAAUGGGCGGAAGCCUGAUGCAGCGACGCCGCGUGGGGGAUGACGGCCUUCGGGUUGUAAACUCCUUUCGACCGCGAGGAAGCCACCUGGUUGGAAGGGUGGUGACGGUAGUGGUAGAAGAAGCACCGGCUAACUACGUG